AUAGCAGAGAACAGAGAAGGAUAUCUGCUGUUAACCAAACUGACUUUUGACAAUAGAACUCUUAAAACAAAACAACAGCAAAAAAAAGCUUUUCUGAAUAUAUUGGCAGCAAAACCUUUUGUCCCGUGCGCAUCUGGCCUUUCACUGGAGCAGAGAGAACUGCGGCUGCAGUGGAAAUGCAGUGCCUCCCCCAGACUCUGCUUUCUAGGAGGAGCCCACCUUGCUGACUCACUGGUUUGGUUCCUGGAAGCAGGGCGUGUGUCUUUCUGGCCCAGGGAAGUGAUCUUAUUCUCUCAAUCUAAACUAAGGUAUUAAAUCAAAGGUAUACCUCAAGAAAUGAAUCAAAACCAAAACAAGUAUGUACACAUAAGACUAAAACCAACAUGUCAUUUAUGGCUUUAAUCAAAGUCUACAAAGAGGGAGCAAAAGCUGCAACCCUCCCAAGACCCAUUCCACUGCCAUCGACAGGUCAGAGAAAGGAAAUGUUUUGCUACUACCUGCAACUGAGGUACAACUCAUAUUUCUGUCCAGCCCUCUUCUCCAGGGUCUUGACUUCUCGGCUUACCAUGUGCACAUAAAGGCUGAUCAUUCCUGUGCCCCAUAGAUGGAAGAUUAUAAGAGACAAGAGGAAAGAAAAUCAAGAACUGUUCAUGGGGGUAGAACAGAUUACAAAUGCGUUUUCAACAAAACCAAGAAUUAUACAAACUGUGAACCCUGCCAUUGCCUUGGUUUACCACUCAGAGUUGCAGCUGCUCUGUUUGGAGGAGGGAGAAGAGAGACUUACCCUUGGGAGUCUGGAUUUGCAGAAGUUCCAGGUGGAGGCAAGAGUCAGGAAAAUAUAAUAUUUGUCUUCUGCAGCAGUUCAUACAUCUUUUUGUUUGUAAGGCACUAAAGGCCUAAGCUGAAAUUAUCUCUUCAACCAAUGUUUUCUCUCUUGUAUUGCUAUUGUUCUUUAUUUCUGCUGUCUAUGCUUUUAUUUUUCCUUUUUGGAAUCCAUAAGAAGAGAAUAUCAUUCCCAACUUAGGUGACGGGUCAUCCUCCAUUGACCCUCCUGUCUUUGGAUAAGUGUAUGAUGUUUCAUACGGCAAACACUGUAUCAAAUGAAUUGUAUGACAUAACUAGACACAGAACAGCAUUUUGUGAAAAAUAAGUACUGCUUUGGAAUAAAAAUUACUUACAUUAUUUUUUUCUUUCUUUUCUUUCUUUUUCUUUUCUUUUCUUUCUUUCUUUCUUUUUUUUUUUUUUUUUUUGAUAUGGCGUUUCACUCUUUUUGCCCACUCCCGGGUUCAAGCAAUUCUCCUGCCUCAGCCUCCUGAGUAGCUGGGAUUACAGGCACCUGCCACCAUGCCCCGCUAAUUUUUGUAUUUUUAGUAGAGGCAGGGUUUACCAUGCUGGCCAGGCUAGUUUUGAACUCCUGACCUCAGUUGAGUCUCCCACCUCAGCCUCCCAAAGCGCUGGAACUGCAGGCGUGAGCCAGUGUGCCUGACCACAAAUCUUAAUGUAUUAAAUAGAUAGGAUUCUUUUGCUAUUUGAAGGGGGAAUAAAAUACUGAAACAU
ensembl:lncRNA